UGGAAGCACGUGCAUCUGAGGUGCAGCGUCCACUGGUUCCUCAGCCUCGCCCGCCUCACUUCUAUGACCAGUACACAGACAGGCCCUAUGGAUUGCCGCGUGCAAUGGGGGGACAUCCACCAUUCCGUGCUGAACAGAGACACUCACCAUCACCUCUGAUGUUUGCAGAGCUGCAGCCUGCUCGAAAUCCACCUUUGCCUGUUGUUUACGGAGAGGUCCGUGCACAAAGUCCUUUUCAAGAAAGGGCAGAAGGUUGCGCUGACGUCAACUACCCCAGUUAACCCUCGGAAGCUGAGAAUAUUUUUUGUGGUGUUUCAAAUAACAGUUUGAGUUUUA